rnacentral:rRNA from 1 species
GAUGAACGCUAGCGGCAGGCUUAACACAUGCAAGUCGAGGGGUAUUUAUCUUCGGAUAGAGAGACCGGCGCACGGGUGCGUAACGCGUAUGCAAUCUACCUUUUACAGAGGGAUAGCCCAGAGAAAUUUGGAUUAAUACCUCAUAGUAUAUAGACUCGGCAUCCAGAUUAUAUUAAAGUCACAACGGUAAAAGAUGAGCAUGCGUCCCAUUAGCUAGUUGGUAAGGUAACGGCGUACCAAGGCUACGAUGGGUAGGGGUCAUGAGAGGGAGAUCCCCCACACUUGAGCCACGGCACAGACCAGACUGCUACGGGGGGCAGCAGUGAGGAAUAUUAGACGAUGGACGCAAGCCUGAUCCAGCCAUGCCGCGUGCAGGAUGACUGUCCUAUGGAAUGUAAGCUGCUUUUAUACAAGAAGAAACACUGCUACGUGGAGCAUCUUGACGGUAGCGAAAGAAUAAGGAUCGGCUAACUCCGUG